rnacentral:rRNA from 1 species
UACGUAGGGUGCAAGCGUUAACCGGAAUUACUGGGCGUAAAGCGUGCGCAGGCGGUUCGCUAAGACCGAUGUGAAAUCCCCGGGCUUAACCUGGGAACUGCAUUGGUGACUGGCGGGCUAGAGUAUGGCAGAGGGGGGUAGAAUUCCACGUGUAGCAGUGAAAUGCGUAGAGAUGUGGAGGAAUACCGAUGGCGAAGGCAGCCCCCUGGGCCAAUACUGACGCUCAUGCACGAAAGCGUGGGGAGCAAACAGG